UACGUAGGGGGCAAGCGUUGUCCGGAAUCACUGGGCGUAAAGCGCGCGCAGGCGGCGAUCUGCGUCUGGGGUGAAAGCCCGGAGCUCAACUCCGGGAUUGCCUUGGAUACGGGGUCGCUUGAGGAUCGGAGAGGCAAGGGGAAUUCCACGUGUAGCGGUGAAAUGCGUAGAGAUGUGGAGGAACACCUGUGGCGAAGGCGCCUUGCUGGCCGAUUCUGACGCUGAGGCGCGAAAGCGUGGGGAGCAAACAGG
rnacentral:rRNA from 1 species